UACGGGGGGGGCAAGCGUUGUUCGGAAUUACUGGGCGUAAAGGGCUCGUAGGUGGCCAACUAAGUCAGACGUGAAAUCCCUCAGCUUAACUGGGGAACUGCGUCUGAUACUGGAUGGCUUGAGUUUGGGAGAGGGACGCGGAAUUCCAGGUGUAGCGGUGAAAUGCGUAGAUAUCUGGAGGAACACCGGUGGCGAAGGCGGCGACCUGGGUAGAUACUGACGCUGAGGUGCGAAAGCGUGGGGAGCAAACAGG
rnacentral:rRNA from 1 species